AAUAUCUAACGGAGAACAGCCAGUCGGAUCAUUCCGAAGGUUGUUCCCAAAGAGAGCAAGCGUCUGACUGUUCCCGACUAUUAGUCUUUGUUUAGCAAAAAAAAGACUAUUAAGCAGACCUCUAAGAUUUCAGGGGUUUGCCCUAGAUUUUCUCUCCUUUCUCUUUACCACUGGCGCCUCCAUAUAAAAAAAGCCUAUGCUAUCAUUUCUAAUUCCUGACGCUAGUUUUACAAGAAACCUAGAACUAUUUUGGAUUUAGCAACUUGUAAGGGAGAAGACUUCAUCUCUCAUUUUCACGAGAAG
rnacentral:lncRNA from 1 species